rnacentral:SRP_RNA from 1 species
GCUGGGCAUGGUGGUGCGUGCCUGUAGUCCCAGCUACUUGGGAGGCUGAGGUGGGAGGAUCCCUUGAGCCCAGGAGUUCUGGGCUGUAGUGCACUAUGCCGAUCGGGUGUCUGUACUAAGUUCGGCAUCAAUAUGGUGAUCUCCUGGGAGUGGGGGACCACCAGGUUGCCUAAGGAGGGGUGAACCGGCCCAGGUCAGAAACGGAGCAGGUCAAAACUCCCGUGCUGAUCAGUAGUGGGAUCGCGCCUGUGAAUAACCACUGCACUCCAGCCUGGGCAGCAUAGCGAAACCCCAUCUCU